rnacentral:rRNA from 1 species
AACCGUGGUAAGGCGUAAAGCUUGCUGCUUCGCUGACGAGUGGCGGACGGGUGAGUAAUGUCUGGGAAACUGCCUGAUGGAGGGGGAUAACUACUGGAAACGGUGGCUAAUACCGCAUAACGUCGCAAGACCAAAGAGGGGGACCUUCGGGCCUCUUGCCAUCAGAUGUGCCCAGAUGGGAUUAGCUUGUUGGUGAGGUAACGGCUCACCAAGGCGACGAUCCCUAGCUGGUCUGAGAGGAUGACCAGCCACACUGGAACUGAGACACGGUCCAGACUCCUACGGGAGGCAGCAGUGGGGAAUAUUGCACAAUGGGCGCAAGCCUGAUGCAGCCAUGCCGCGUGUAUGAAGAAGGCCUUCGGGUUGUAAAGUACUUUCAGCGGGGAGGAAGGUGUUGUGGUUAAUAACC